rnacentral:rRNA from 1 species
AGCAGCCGCGGUAAUUCCAGCUCCAAUAGCGUAUAUUAAAGUUGUUGCAGUUAAAAAGCUCGUAGUUGAAUUUCGGGAUUAGUACGUUGGUCGUGCCUUAGGUACGUACUGGUGUUACUGGUUCCUACCUUCUGACGAACCAUCAUGUCAUUAAUUUGGUGUGGCGGGGAAUCAGGACUGUUACUUUGAAAAAAUUAGAGUGUUUAAAGCAGGCUCGCGCUUGAAUACAUUAGCAUGGAAUAAUGAAAUAGGACGUUGACCCUAUUUUGUUGGUUUCUAGGAUUGACGUAAUGAUUAAUAGGGAUAGUUGGGGGCAUUAGUAUUCAAUUGUCAGAGGUGAAACUCUUGGAUUUAUUGAAGACUAACUACUGCGAAAGCAUUUGCCAAGGAUGUUUUCAUUAAUCAAGAACGAAAGUUAGGGGAUCGAAGACGAUCAGAUACCGUCGUAGUCUUAACCAUAAACUAUGCCGACUAGGGAUCGGACGAUGUUAACCUUUAUUGACUCGUUCGGCGCCUUACG